rnacentral:rRNA from 2 species
UGGGGAAUAUUGGACAAUGGGCGCAAGCCUGAUCCAGCCAUGCCGCGUGAGUGAUGAAGGCCCUAGGGUUGUAAAGCUCUUUCAACGGUGAAGAUAAUGACGGUAACCGUAGAAGAAGCCCCGGCUAACUUCGUGCCAGCAGCCGCGGUAAUACGAAGGGGGCUAGCGUUGUUCGGAAUUACUGGGCGUAAAGCGCACGUAGGCGGAUUGUUAAGUUAGGGGUGAAAUCCCAGGGCUCAACCCUGGAACUGCCUUUAAUACUGGCAAUCUAGAGUCCGAGAGAGGUGAGUGGAAUUCCGAGUGUAGAGGUGAAAUUCGUAGAUAUUCGGAGGAACACCAGUGGCGAAGGCGGCUCACUGGCUCGGUACUGACGCUGAGGUGCGAAAGCGUGGGGAGCAAACA